GACGAACGCUGGCGGCGUGCUUAACACAUGCAAGUCGAACGGAAAGGCCCUGCUUUUGUGGGGUGCUCGAGUGGCGAACGGGUGAGUAACACGUGAGUAACCUGCCCUUGACUUUGGGAUAACUUCAGGAAACUGGGGCUAAUACCGGAUAGGAGCUCCUGCUGCAUGGUGGGGGUUGGAAAGUUUCGGCGGUUGGGGAUGGACUCGCGGCGUAUCAGCUUGUUGGUGGGGUAGUGGCUUACCAAGGCUUUGACGGGUAGCCGGCCUGGGAGGGUGACCGGCCAGAUUGGGACUGAGCUACGACACAGACUAGUACGGGAGGCAGCAGUGGGGAGUAUUGCACAAUGGGAGGGAGCCUGAUGCAGCAACGCCGCGUGCGGGAUGACGGCCUUCGGGUUGUAAACCGCUUUCGCCUGUGACGAAGAGAGAAUGACGGUAAUGGGUAAAGAAGCAACGGCUAACUACGUG
rnacentral:rRNA from 1 species